rnacentral:rRNA from 1 species
AACGAACGCUGGCGGCGUGCCCAACACAUGCAAGUCGAACGAGAAAGGGGCUUCGGCUCCGAGUAAAGUGGCGCACGGGUGAGUAACACGUAGGUAACCUGCCUCUAAGAUCGGGAUAACCUGUCGAAAGAUAAGCUAAUACCAAAUAAGACCACAGCUCCCUCGGGAGCAGAGGUCAAAGGUAGCCUCUACAUGUAAGCUAUCACUUAGAGAUGGGCCUGCGUACCAUUAGCUAGUUGGUGGGGUAACGGCCUACCAAGGCAAAGAUGGUUAGCUGGUCUGAGAGGAUGAUCAGCCACACUGGAACUGAGACACGGUCCAGACUCCUACGGGAGGCAGCAGUGGGGAAUAUUGCGCAAUGGGCGAAAGCCUGACGCAGCAACGCCGCGUGAGUGAUGAAGGCCUUCGGGUCGUAAAGCUCUGUCGGAGGGAACGAAUGCUCCUGAGGUUAACAGCUUCGGGAAGUGACGGUACCCUCAAAGGUAGCACCGGCUAACUCUGUGCCAGCAGCCGCCGUAA